UACGAAGGGGGCUAGCGUUGCUCGGAAUCACUGGGCGUAAAGGGCGCGUAGGCGGCUUUAUAAGUCGGGGGUGAAAGCCUGUGGCUCAACCACAGAAUUGCCUUCGAUACUGUAGAGCUUGAGACCGGAAGAGGUAAGUGGAACUGCGAGUGUAGAGGUGAAAUUCGUAGAUAUUCGCAAGAACACCAGUGGCGAAGGCGGCUUACUGGUCCGGUUCUGACGCUGAGGCGCGAAAAGCGUGGGGAGCAAACAGG
rnacentral:rRNA from 1 species